rnacentral:rRNA from 1 species
AUGUGCUGUGAGCUCGAUGAGUAGGGCGGGACACGUGGUAUCCUGUCUGAAUAUGGGGGGACCAUCCUCCAAGGCUAAAUACUCCUGACUGACCGAUAGUGAACCAGUACCGUGAGGGAAAGGCGAAAAGAACCCCGGCGAGGGGAGUGAAAAAGAACCUGAAACCGUGUACGUACAAGCAGUGGGAGCACAGGUUUACCUGUGUGACUGCGUACCUUUUGUAUAAUGGGUCAGCGACUUAUAUUCUGUAGCAAGGUUAACCGUAUAGGGGAGCCGUAGGGAAACCGAGUCUUAACCGGGCGUUAAGUUGCAGGGUAUAGACCCGAAACCCGGUGAUCUAGCCAUGGGCAGGUUGAAGGUUGGGUAACACUAACUGGAGGACCGAACCGACUAAUGUUGAAAAAUUAGCGGAUGACCUGUGGCUGGGGGUGAAAGGCCAAUCAAACCGGGAGAUAGCUGGUUCUCCCCGAAAGCUAUUUAGGUAGCGCCUCGUGAAUUCAUCUCCGGGGGUAGAGCACUGUUUCGGCUAGGGGGCCAUCCCGGCUUACCAACCCGAUGCAAACUGCGAAUACCGGAGAAUGUUAUCACGGGAGACACACGGCGGGUGCUAACGUCCGUCGUGAAGAGGGAAACAACCCAGACCGCCAGCUAAGGUCCCAAAGUCAUGGUUAAGUGGGAAACGAUGUGGGAAGGCCCAGACAGCCAGGAUGUUGGCUUAGAAGCAGCCAUCAUUUAAAGAAAGCGUAAUAGCUCACUGGUCGAGUCGGCCUGCGCG